GUUACAUGUUGUUCCGUAAGGCUGAGUGCUGACAAAGGAGAAGUUUCAUGUUGGCUGCAAAUUAAAAGUAUACAUGUGUAGAACAGCUAACAAACAGAAAGCAUAGAAAGAAGGGAACCCUAGGAUAAAGAAUUAAAAAGGGGAACAAAGAUUUAUGCUGUUUCUUCUUUAUUUCUCAUUGGCAAAACGGCAGAAUCUUCAUUAAGUUGCGUUUUAUUAUUUUUUCCAUUUCUUAUAGUAGCCAACUUCCAACUACACCAUUUA